rnacentral:rRNA from 1 species
UACGAAAGGAGCAGGUGUUAUUCAGAUUAACUGGGCGUAAAGGGCGCGUAGGCGGUUAUAAAAGUUAGAUGUGAAAUCCCCGAGCUUAACUUGGGAACUGCAUUUAAGACUGUAUGACUAGAGUAGAAUAGAGGUAAGUGGAAUUUCCGGUGUAGCGGUGAAAUGCGUAGAUAUCGGAAAUAACACCAGUGGCGAAGGCGACUUACUGGAUUCAUACUGACGCUGAGGCGCGAAAGCAUGGGGAGCAAACAGG